AUGCUGAGUGUCUGGGAAAGGAAACUUCAGCUGCCAGGAAGCUCAGAACUAAAUCCGAUGCAAGCCUGUGGGUCAUUCAAGCAGGCUCCCGUCCCCUGUUUUCGGAUCUGUCAGAUUCCCCUGGGACCCAGGCAGAUCCACGGAGACACACAGAGGAUGGAUUCACUGUCUAGCAGAGGUAAUAGUGUGAAUGCAGCUGUGGUUCUCAGAGGAACUUUGGGGUGGCCUCAACCCCCCAGGGAGAAAAAGACAGAGGGGAGGGAGGGAGCCGUGGUGGGAAGAGCUGUCUCUGACUCAUUGUGUGAGAAGGAGAUUCAGGGCCUCCUUUGUGGGGGGUAGGAGCAGGUGGGGGAGGAGAACAGAGGCAGCAAAGCCCAGAAGAGGCCCAACCCAACCCAUUUCUACCUGGAAGUCUCACCAUCAUCCUCCUGAUUUGGAUGGGAUCCUGGCCGCCUUCCUUCCCAUGCUUGGGGAGGAAUGACACCAGAGGCUCCUCUCCUUCUGGGCUACCCCAUUGAUCUGCCUUUUCUACCAUUUUCUUUUCUUGGCAUUUGGCAUCACUUUCCUUGCAUGGGGGCAGGGCAGGAUACACCCCAUGCUCUGUGGACCCUAUCUCUCCCCAGGAAGUGGAGGGAAGAGGGAAUAAUGGUCUUAAAUUCUUUUCUGAGCUCAGCUGGAAGAGGGGAUGGUUCCUGGAGGCUGCAUUGCACCAUAGCGCUUUCGAGGCACUCGCCGCACCUGUUCUUUUUGGGGGUUCUUGCUGCAGUAUAGCUGGUUUCGCAUUCAGACAGAUCGGGGUUUGAGUCUUGACUUUGCCAUAUACCACCAGCUAUGCAACCUUGUGCAAGGUCUUAAUCCUGUGUAAGCUUCAGUUUCUCACCUCUCAGAUGUGGGUGGUGACAGUGUGUCUCUCUCAUGGGCUGUUGUGAGCCCUGGACAAGAGAAGGCAACAGUGCUAGCAGAGUUCUAGCAUGUAGUGAGCGCUCUGGAAGUGUUAAAAUAAAUGAAAUUCCCUUUGAAGCAGGUUGGUAAUGCUGUUUUGCUUCAUUUUUAGAGUUGGAGAAACUGCAGGUUAAAAGGGUGAUGUGGGACACCUGGGUGGCUCAGCGGUUAAGUGUCUCCCUUCAGCUCAGGGCGUGAUCCUGGAGUCCCGGGGUCAAGUCCCACAUCAGGCUCCCUGCACAGAGCAUGCUUCUCUCUCUGCCUGUAUCUCUGCCUCUGUGUGUGUGUGUGUGAUGAAUAAAUAAAUAAAAUCUUAAAAAAAAAAAAAAGGUGAUGUGACUCACCCAAGGCCACCUGACACAUUGGUGAGGGGGACCUGAGUCUCCCACGGGCUCCCGUGACUGACAGCACAGGUUUGGGAGCGCUGAGAGUGGCUGCACUCUUCCUUGGCCAGGUGACCCUGAAGGUGUCACCAUUGCCUCUGAGACUUGGUUUUCCUUCUCUGUAAGAUACAGCUGCCUGUCUCCCUUCAAAGAGUAGCCUUGGGGACGCCAGAGUGGCUCAGCGGUUUAGCACUUGCCUUCAACCCAGGCAUGAUCCUGGAGACCCGGGAUCGAGUCCCGCGUCGGGCUCCCUGCAUGGGGCCUGCUUCUCCCUCUGCCUGUGUCUCUGCCUCUCUCUCUCUCUGUGUGUCUCUCAUGGAUAAAUAAAUAAAAUCUUAAAAAAAAAAAAAAAAAAGAGUAGCCUUGGUGUUUCCUGGCCUAGACACUUUUUGCAGGAGUUGAGGUAGAAAGCAGAAGCUGUCUGAAGACAGCCCUUUUUUCUGUCCUUUGUAAAAACCUGAGUUUAGUGAGAAGAUGGAGCCGGGGUCCUAGGUGGGUGGGGAGAGGAGCCUACAUCUGUGACCCAGAGGACAUAGGAGAGACAAUCAUGGGUCCCUUGAGUGUUGACGUCCUGGGCUCUGCUGCCUUGGGGAGAUGGUGGGCCUCUGGGUGAAGGUACUGGGUGAUAACCCAACCCUGAGGUUGAACCCAAGGCACAGUGGUUUCAAAUCUUGGUGAAGAAUCUGGACUCGAGGCAUGCCAGGGAAGUGGACGGGGCUGGACUUUAGGAGAUCAGACUCCUUUGGACAAUGGGCAUCUAUCAUAGGAGGAGCCAGGCUGGCAUGAAGGUCAGGUCCCUCCCCUGCUAUAUGCUCUGUAUGAGAUCCUAGGAUUCAAUGUGCAAUGCUGGAACGUGAAAGAAGCUCCCUAUACACUGAGACUCAGUUUCCAACCAGCCCAGUAGGGGGAGAGCCCUGAGUCCUAUUGAAUAUGCUUUAAUAGGAAUGAACAAAAGGGUAAGAGUGAUAGGUGCAACAAGAUAAGGAGGGAAGAGAGGAGACCCUGGAAGGCUCUGCUCGGCUAAGCCAUGCUACCACGUUGCCCACCGUAACCACCAGGUCUUAACCCACCAAAAGGUAGAGGAUGUGCUUCAUUGGUAGAAAUCAAUGUGGGGCCAGGGCCUACCCAAAUUCUCCUGAGCCCCUUCUCUGCCUUAUUCCUGAUCUUUGUGUCCUCAGGGGGUCUUCCUGCCACCCACUUGAGGGAGAAGCAGCCUGAAGCCUCAUCAUCCUUAUCUCUAUUCCACAGCAGCAGCAGCAGAUGGUAUGAAGCUCAGAAUCUCCAAUGAAGCCAUUUGCUGAGCCCAGGUGCCCAUCUGGUGCCAGCAUCAUCCAGCCAACCCUCAUCGUGGCAGGCCCAUGAGUGCUGGUCUCGGGCCCAAAGUUCUCAGAAGAGGGAGCUGAAUGGGAAAGAGGGGGACUGAUAUCCUGAGGCCACGGAGUUACCAGUGCUGAGAUUCACCUGGGUGCUGGCGCAGGACACACUCAUAAACACUAGUGUCCUGCUGAGUGGAACGUCUGUGGAGUGGACCCCUGGCCUCCUGGACCUAGUGUGGCUCUCACCCUACUGAGCUGUCUGCAUGUCAGUGACUGUCUCCUUCUGUCUGGACCUUGGUGGGCCUGCAAAGCUGAAUGCUGAUUCGUGAUCCUGUCCAAGGGUGAGGACGGCACCAGCCCCAAGCCUUCCUGUGACUGGUCCUCACACACCUUGGGAGUCCUCUUCAUUCGGCAUCAAUCUCCUGGCCCCAGUCAGGCCCCCCCAGCUUCUUAAAUCCCUGAGAGGGGGAGGGGGAAAGUGGGAACCCAGGUUUCAAAGAACACAGGUUUUCUGAAAUGAGGAAGAGGUCCCAAAUAAAGCAACAAUGGAAAGCUACUCACUGUGGUCUGUGGGCUGAGCUUCCUGAUCCUGCUGGGUGCUGAGGAGUCCUGGUAGUUGUGCGUUAAGGAGCUGGCCCUGGGUCCCAGUCAGAGCUACUGUUCAACAGCCACCCAAGUCAGCUUUCUCUUGCUUUUACUCUUUUUCACAGAUGAGUGAGCAUGAGGAGGUCUGGCCUUCCGUCCCUCUCACCACUUCCCCUCUGGGUCCCCAGUACCACAGCAUUCUGUCCCUGUAAUUGUGUUAUUUCUCACAAGGAACUCUGACCAGGGAGGGGAGGGGCAUCUGUAUAGCCCCUGGAGUCAAGGGACUUGAGUUCUAAUCCCAUGUAGCUCUUAUGACCUUGAGCAAUUCACUUAAUCUUCUUAAACCUUAGUUUCUUCAUCUGCAAAAUGGAGGUAAUGCACCAGCGUUACACAGACCACCUAAAAGGACAUUCCGUUCCAAUCCCUCUUGCCUAUCAGAUCAGAACUUUGAAAUUCAAUGCCUAUCAGUGUCCGCCAGAAAACAUCAAUGGGUGGAGAGUGCUGGUAUGGGGCAACAGAGAGUGGUGGGGACAGUGGGGGGACAGGGACAUAGGACCCAAUCACAGGGGACUGACAUCUUUCAGCUACAGCCAAGUCUUGCUACAUGGGAAUGCAGACCUGAGUGCCAGCUGUCCCAAACAUUUGGAACGCGCCACAUUUUCCAACAGAUAAUAGAAAUCCUGACUUUUAUGUAAUGGCUUCCCAUUUUAGAAUAUUGACCACAAAGUCAAAUCUUUUAAAAAUGCUAUGUGGGUCAAACCAACCCCAUUUUUCAUUUACAUUUGCUAGACCAUGGGCUCCCUGAAGGCAGGGAUUGUGUCCCUAAUGCCCAGUAAAGACUCAGGUACCUGGUACAGACAAAAGUGUUUCCAUACCUAUUAUCUAAUAGAAUAUUAAUUUAUUCAUUGUUCCAAGUUUUUAUUUAAAUUCCAGUUCGCUGGGCAGCCCAGAUGGCCCAGCGGUUUAGUGCCACCUGCGGCUCAGGGCGUGAUCCUGGAGACCCAGGAUCGGGUCCCAUGUCGGGCUCCCUGCAUGGAGCCUGCUUCUUCCUCUCCCUCUGCCUGUGUCUCUGCCUCUCUCUCUCUCUCUCUCUCUCUCAUGAGUAAAUAAAUAAAAUCUUAAAAAUAAAUAAAUAAAUAAAUAAAUAAAUAAAUAAAUAAAUAAAUAAAUUCCAGUUUGCUAACAUACAGUGUAAUAUUAGUUUCAAGAGUAGGAUUUAGUAAAAAAAAAAAAAAAAAAAAAGUAGGAUUUAGUGAACCAUCGCUUACAUAGCACCCGGUGCUCAUCACUACAAGUGCCUCCUGAAUAUCUAUCACCCAUUUAACUCACCUGCCCCCACCUUCCCUCCAGGGACCCUCAGUGCAUUCUCUAUAGUUAAGAGUCUGUUUUGUGGUUUAUCAGACAGAUGAAACGAGAAUCUCCUUCUUCCUAGGGGUACAGAGAUGAGUAUGAUGAAGUUCCUGUCCACCCUGGCAAAUAGCAUUUGAUUAUCUCGUCAGAUCUUUUUACUCACUGCCCUUUGUACAUCUCAAACCCCAAUGGACGGAUCUAGGUCAGUGGUUCUCAGGAAGGGAGAUCUGCCCCCGAGACAGAGCUGCCACGUUCUGCAAGUAAAAAUAUAGGCUGACAAUAUCUGACAUACACAUCUAAACAAUUAUUUAUCGUUUCUCUGAUGUUGAAAUUUAACGGGGCAGUCUAUAUUUUAUCUGCCAGCCUUACAUAAGAGGGCCAUCUGGCCGUGUCUGAAGAUACCACAGCUGCAUGGUUGGUUCUACGGACAUCCAGGGAGUAAAGGUGGAGAAUGCUAGGAAACAUCCCACAGCACGCAGG
rnacentral:lncRNA from 1 species